rnacentral:rRNA from 1 species
UACAGAGGUCCCAAGCGUUGUUCGGAUUCACUGGGCGUAAAGGGUGCGUAGGCGGUCGGGUAAGUCUGAUGUGAAAUCUCACAGCUUAACUGUGAAACUGCAUUGGAUACUAUUCGGCUUGAGAGUUGGAGGGGGGACUGGAAUUCUUGAUGUAGCAGUGAAAUGCGUAGAUAUCAAGAGGAACACCAGUGGCGAAGGCGAGUCCCUGGACAACUUCUGACGCUGAGGCACGAAAGCUAGGGGAGCAAACAGG